rnacentral:rRNA from 1 species
UGCGUAACGCGUAUGCAACCUACCAUCAACAGGGGGAUAACACUGAGAAAUUGGUACUAAUACCCCAUAAUAUCUCAUGCGGCAUCGCAUGGGGUUGAGAACUCCGGUGGUUGAUGAUGGGCAUGCGUUGUAUUAGCUGGUUGGUGAGGUAACGGCUCACCAAGGCGACGAUACAUAGGGGGACUGAGAGGUUAACCCCCCACAUUGGUACUGAGACACGGACCAAACUCCUACGGGAGGCAGCAG